GGACAAUGAAAAGUUAGAAGAUAAGGUUUGCCAUGGAAAUAUGAGGAUUUAUAAAGAUACACAUUUUUAACAAAGCGUAAUAUUAAAAUAUGGUUUUCAAAAGCACGCAUAGGCAAAUUUCUAUGUUCUAUUCACCAUUCAUUCAACAAGUAUUGAGUAACUACUGCAUAACUGGCAUUGUCCUAGGCACAGAGGCUAACAGCAGUGAACAAAAUGGCAAUGUUCCAUCUUGCAUGGUCCUUGUUUAGUGGGGAAGCACAAAGAAUGUGUGUUUAAUAUGAUAUGAUGUAAUAUAGUGCCAGAUGGUAGGAAGAGCUAUCAAGAAAAAAUAAUCCAGGGUAAGAGGAUAAAGAGUGAUGGCAAGUAGUAUAGGGUUAGGGUUAGGGUUAGGGAAGGUCUCUCUAAGGAGCCUCUAUUUCAGCAGAGACAUGAAGUCUGGGAGCAAGCUAUGAGAAUAUUUGGGUGAACAGUAUUCUAAACAAAGGAAACAAGUAUAAGGACUUGACGCUUAAACGAGUUUGGAUUGUUUAAAGUACUGAAAGAAGGUUACUGUGGUUAAAACAUUGUGAAUGAAAUGAAGGGAAAAGUAGUAGAAGAUGAGAUUGGGAAGAAAACUGGGUGCCAGACCUCAUAUGUUGUUUUGGGAUAUGAAAAGAACUUUUAAGUUUUAUUUUAGGGUGAUGGAGAACCACUGGAAGAUUCUGAGGAUAGGACUUUGUGCUUUGUGAUGUGCUUUAUGUUUUAAAAGGGUUACCUGGCAACUGUGUGGAGACAGCCCAGAAAUAGAAAUAGGGUGAAAUAAUCCAAGAGUGGAAGCUGAGAUACCAGCUUGGAAAUUAUUGCAGUUAUUCAGGGAACCUAAAUUUGAGGUCAAGGAUCAAAACGAGCCUUCUCUCUGUCAAGAGAUUUCUACUUAGACUUAUGUCUUCUGCAAUGUCUUCUGCAAAUGAUUUACUGAAGGCUUAUGUUUUCAAAUUACUUUCAUACACGGUAUAAUUUGACCUUCAUAUAACCACCCUGAAAGGGCCAGG
rnacentral:lncRNA from 1 species